rnacentral:rRNA from 1 species
UCCUACGGGUGGCUGCAGUGGGGAAUUUUGGACAAUGGGCGCAAGCCUGAUCCAGCCAUGCCGCGUGAGUGAAGAAGGCCUUCGGGUUGUAAAGCUCUUUCGGCCGGGAAGAAAUCGCACAGGCUAAUACCUUGUGUGGAUGACGGUACCGGAAUAAGAAGCACCGGCUAACUACGUGCCAGCAGCCGCGGUAAUACGUAGGGUGCGAGCGUUAAUCGGAAUUACUGGGCGUAAAGCGUGCGCAGGCGGUUGUGUAAGACAGGCGUGAAAUCCCCGGGCUCAACCUGGGAACUGCGCUUGUGACUGCACGGCUAGAGUACGGCAGAGGGGGGUGGAAUUCCACGUGUAGCAGUGAAAUGCGUAGAGAUGUGGAGGAACACCGAUGGCGAAGGCAGCCCCCUGGGCCGAUACUGACGCUCAUGCACGAAAGCGUGGGUAGCAAACAGGAUUAGAUACCCGAGUAGUC